AGUAGACCUUCUGAGGCCUGCCAACAGCCUUGUGAAUAAGCCUGGAUCCUCCCAGUCAAUGCUUGAGAUGAGUGCAGCCCCAGCCGAAACUGAAUGUACUGCAUAAGAGAAUCUAAGUCAAAUCUAGCCAGGGAAGAGGAUUGAAAAUUUCAGCAAGGCAAAAGUGAUGAAAAUGUCUUCAUGGAACCUUUGGUAAUUUCAGAAACAUGAUUUGGAACACCGAGAGAGGCUGAAAAAUGGACAUUUGGCACUACUUGGACACUGAUUCUUCAUUAUCUAGAGCAUUCAAGCUCUCUGAGAAGAAGGAUGAAUUUGUCUUUUCUUUCACCUGAGGGCAGCCACCACUCAACUCUUCCUGGUUCUCUGAAGCAGUGUCUGUCCCCUGUGCCUGCAGCACAGCACUCACUCAUGG